CACUGAAGGCUUGGAAGAUGGUAAGUAACUUGCCUGAGGCCACGGAGUUUAUCAGCCAUAGAAGCAGAGGACUCAGACCCAGGCAGUGGUCCCAGAGCGCCCACCACGACCACAGCAAGACCCAGGCCCGGAAAAGUCUUCAUUCCCAAAGAAGCAGAAGCAAUUCUGCAGCGUCAGGGCAGUGACUCAAAGAGCCCUGUUGUACGGUGACAUCGGAAUCACAUGGUCCUGGGGCAACUGGCAAGUUGAGACUGCGAGUAGAAAGCUGUGAAACCCCAAGUUUGUAAACUGAGUGAUUUUUGUUUUUUGGAGGCAGGCUCCCAGGGAAUCUGAGUAGACAUGUCGUCUGCAGGUACGAGAUGAAAAGAAGUAAGAAUGAAGAAUUAAGUAGUUUCAGAAUGACUAGCUCUCUACCCCUAACAGCCCCCUUAGCAAUCGUGCAGUAAGAUAACAUCUGAAGAGAGAGUCAGCCAGUCUGCACACAAUGGAGAAGGAUGCAGAACCCAACCUCCUGCCUCCAUGAUUCGCUGAGAUUCUUCCCCCUUUUUCUGCUUUAAAAACUGUCAUGACUGAACAGAGUCUUCAGAGUUGGUCUCAGGACACAAGUCCACCUUGUCCCCAGAUUGCUGGCUGUCCUGAUUAAAGCAUCUUUCCUUUCUACUGACA